rnacentral:tRNA from 1 species
GGGGGUAUAGUUAAUAAUAAUAUCUAAAUUGCAAUUAGAAGGAGCUACAAUAGCUAUCCUCA